UUUGUUGCUUGUGUUCGAAUGUGCGAUACACGUACCUGUCGGCGUGAGGGUGCAUCCAUCGCUUUAGAAUAUCGUUCUCUGUUAUGCUAACAUACUUAAUACUUGAUUCAUGUGCGAGGGUAACUUAAAACAUAAAAUAGUUUUUCGUGUUUUUUCUUACAAAAUCUCAGAGGCUGUUGAUCAUCCAAUGCUUAGAAAAUGAUUAAAAUAAUGCAAUACCAAGGCUACACAAAGAGUUGUUUUUAAACUAUUUCUUAAUUUGAAACUAUUUUUAAACGGGUUUUCUUUACAACCAGCACCUCAUAAAAUUAACUCAGUAAAGCAAAGUAAAGCAGAGUUCUUCUGUUAUGUUAAAAAAGAGAGAGAAAUAAUUCAUCUGAAACAAACAAAUAAAUUCUCAGAAAACUUUACGAACGAAAUUUCAGAAACAUGACAAAAAGAUGUUUCAAAAAAAAAGAGCACCAAAAAGAAAGACAUUCGAGAAGCACAGAACAUGAGCCGAAAAGGAAACAGUACGAAAGUCAAUCAAAACGCAACGCCACAACGUUUGAGAAGAUUCGGGUCUAAAACAAAUUCUUGGAAAAUGUUCACAAACACAUACACACGAAGCCAGGGACUUGGACGGGUAGAAAUGGUGUGGAGGAAUCCGAAAGUGAAGGAACCACUUUGGACUCCUUUUCCUUUAUGCUGCGUGUGCUGGAUAUUUUAUUCCUGCAUUCGAAGGAUUGAAGUAGGUAGCAGCUUUUUCUGUGUGUGUUUUUUUUGCAUGCGAUCUUUGAGAACUUACAGACGCUUUGAUAUCAUUAACAAGAAAAUUAUUUCAAAUGGUAAAUUUUGGAUUUUUUGCUUAUUUAAGAAUAUUUGUACAACAACAGUAUAAGCCAUACACACCGACAGCUAGUGCCUCAAAGCAUGAAACAAGUCUGGAACGGGAAAGAAAACUCGAACGAAAAUAGGAAUGCGAUAGAGGAAUGGAAAAGCAUUCUUCUGCGAGAAACCGAGAACAAGAGUAAACGAUAGAAAUGGAAAGGGCACGUCGAUUACGUAGGUGAACCCGGGAAAGUCGCCUUUGCCAAUCGCCCUGCAACGAUCGAGAGACGAAGACGGCCGAACGAACGAUCGCUUGGGUAGAAAACUACUGCAAAUAGCGUUCGUUUGGCGACCGCUUAACGCGUCGAGAACAAGGCUCUAAUGUCUGACGAGAAAUCCCUUUGGUUCCCCGGCGAGGAGCCAGUUGCGAUUGUCUGCUGAAACCUAAGCGAAACGUACAGAUUUGUUUAGAGCUACGGAUAUCAAAGGAAAUGCAUGCCAAGGCACAAGACAGACGAAGCAAGUGCACGAUCGCCGACGACCAAUUUUCGUUGGUCCGUUGGGCUAGUGUGGGGCUAGCUCGUUGUGUAGGGGCGCGAGCUUAACAGUGCCGUGUCCUUAAAGCCUGGCCUGGCACAACGCGAGCUCCGCAAUGCAGCAACAGCGCCGCCUGGACGACCCCGUCCCUCUGGGCAGGCUUGUUGGGCUGUGGAGGGCUUCGGAUUUGAAUACAACAAACCACCACACACUAGCGCCCGAAUGUGUCUGGACACGUACACAGAACGUGCACAGGGCCCGGUACGCACACACGCAGAAAUUUUAGCUGCCAAAGAGCUGAAGCAGGAAAGACGACAGCAGCAGCAGCAGCAGCAGCAACAGCAACAGCAACGGUGCAGAAGAGAAGAGGGCGGGCGCGCCGCGGCACCCUGCCCGGCUCCUCCUUACUUCUAUGCCGGAAACCCCCACGGACGAAAACCCGGUACUUUCUGGGCCGAACACAGCGCAGAAUCUACAUUAAAGUUCUGGAUGAGAAGAGAGCUCGAAACGCGUCGGCCUGUGCCUGUGUGAGCCUGAACCUGAAGCCCAUCAUCCCGUCGGAGGGAGCGGAACGCUCCAUGCACGCGGGAGGCUGCGUGCGUGCGACUGCGACGACGAAUGGCUCCUGUGUCCCGACGGCCGAACAACGUGAAACGUGAAGCCGGCGGAGCGCACAUAGCCCCAACACACAGGGAGCUUCCAUCUCCCUCACUCGCACGCUUCCACUCCCAGGGUUUCACGUGCAUGCGAACACGCGUAUGUAUGCUUGCGCUAGAUGGCACGGAGGAAAUGGGACGGCGAAUGCACUGGGCCAGAACGACGAAACAGCACCGCCAAAGCUCCCUGGAUCCUUGAACGGCUGGGCCAGAGAGCGGGGGUGCAGUUCUGCAGAGUGCCUUCAAUCUGGCUUUAAAGUAGGUGGUAUAGUACAGCUAGUAGUACUUUUUAAGGUACGGCGUUUUCUCAUCCACGUAGAAGGAACUUCAGGAUAUGCUGCUGCACCAAGCAAACACAUACAAGUUCCUUCGAGCCUUAUGGUCCUAUUGGUGGCCAGUGCAAAUUUCCCACUAAGCCAGCAGGGGGAGAUAUGGGUCAUACCGCAUGUUCACCGAACCAUGCCUUGGACUGGCACAUCUUACCUGUAAAGUCGCAUUCGUCGUGUUCGAUAUUAAUGAAUCAUACAAACUUGAUCUCUACAAAACAAAUGCUAUGUGUCAAUCAUUCUUAAGAAUGCUGCGAUGGUAACCUCAUUACUUUGAAGACGAAUGUUCCGUUCCUGGAUAAAUUCCAGGCUGGAUCUUUCAUGUUUUGUGUUAAACCUCGCACCCUUGGCGAAGGGUAGAUAAAAUAGUUUUGUGAUUCAGUUGAAAGUGCGAAUAGUUUCAAAGGGAAUGUAGUAACACCAUUCAUAAAUACUUUUUUAUUUAUAUUCAAAAUAUGUCGACUUGUUGCCGUAUUGUAAACGAAUAAUUUUCGAAUGACGAACAAUAUUUCAUUAAUAUUUUUUGCACCAUGUUGGACCGUCAUAUUUAAUGAAUAAAUAAAAUAACUAACAUAUUUCGGAAA